rfam:Medicago truncatula strain A17 chromosome 7, whole genome shotgun sequence.
AAACCAUGAUGGGGGCAAAGCCUAAGCAUUUCUUUGAAACGCUCCCACGCAUCCUAAAGAGAUUCACCAUCUUUUUGAGUGUGUUGUACCCUGAUUUU